rnacentral:rRNA from 1 species
AUUGAACGCUGGCGGCAGGCUUAACACAUGCAAGUCGAACGAUGACUAACUAGCUUGCUAGUUAUGAUUAGUGGCGGACGGGUGAGUAACAUUUAGGAAUCUGCCUAGUAGUGGGGGAUAGCUCGGGGAAACUCGAAUUAAUACCGCAUACGACCUACGGGUGAAAGGGGGCGCAAGCUCUUGCUAUUAGAUGAGCCUAAAUCAGAUUAGCUAGUUGGUGGGGUAAAGGCCUACCAAGGCGACGAUCUGUAACUGGUCUGAGAGGAUGAUCAGUCACACCGGAACUGAGACACGGUCCGGACUCCUACGGGAGGCAGCAGUGGGGAAUAUUGGACAAUGGGGGCAACCCUGAUCCAGCCAUGCCGCGUGUGUGAAGAAGGCCUUUUGGUUGUAAAGCACUUUAAGCAGGGAGGAGAGGCUAAUGGUUAAUACCCAUUAGAUUAGACGUUACCUGCAGAAUAAGCACCGGCUAACUCUGUGCCAGCAGCCGCGGUAAUACAGAGGGUGCGAGCGUUAAUCGGAAUUACUGGGCGUAAAGCGAGUGUAGGUGGCUCAUUAAGUCACAUGUGAAAUCCCCGGGCUUAACCUGGGAACUGCAUGUGAUACUGGUGGUGCUAGAAUAUGUGAGAGGGAAGUAGAAUUCCAGGUGUAGCGGUGAAAUCCGUAGAUAUUAGAAGGAACACCAAUGGCGAAGGCAGGCGACUGGCAUAUUUCUGACGCUGAGGCUCGAAAGCGUAGGUAGCGAACGGGAUUAGAUACCCCGGUAGUCUACGCCGUAAACGAUGGAUACU